rnacentral:rRNA from 1 species
UCUGGUGGUUUAUCGCGGAGGCAACACCUCUUCCCAUUCCGAACAGAGAAGUUAAGCUCCGUUGAGGCGAUGAUACUCGCUUUGCGGGGAAAGUAGCUAGCCGCCAGUC